rnacentral:rRNA from 1 species
GGGGAAUAUUGCACAAUGGGCGAAAGCCUGAUGCAGCGACGCCGCGUGAGGGAUGACGGCCUUCGGGUUGUAAACCUCUUUCAGCAGGGAAGAAGCGAAAGUGACGGUACCUGCAGAAGAAGCGCCGGCUAACUACGUGCCAGCAGCCGCGGUAAUACGUAGGGCGCAAGCGUUGUCCGGAAUUAUUGGGCGUAAAGAGCUCGUAGGCGGUUAGUCGCGUCUGCUGUGAAAACUCGAGGCUCAACCUCGGGCUUGCAGUGGGUACGGGCUGACUAGAGUGCGGUAGGGGUGACUGGAAUUCCUGGUGUAGCGGUGGAAUGCGCAGAUAUCAGGAGGAACACCGAUGGCGAAGGCAGGUCACUGGGCCGCAACUGACGCUGAGGAGCGAAAGCAUGGGGAGCGAACA